AUAGGCCCGGCAGCGAGUGGGCCCCGCUGGGCUGGGCUUGCCUAGGCGGCCGCCCGCUCCUGGGGCCUGUUGGCCGGCCCCGCACCCCCGGCAGGUGGCGCAGCCCCCGUGGGGGAUGGUGCGUGAUCAGCAGGACGCUGCCUGGCCCGGGCCCCGGCUGCAGGAACAGCAGUGUUUUGGAGCCUGUGACAGCAGCAGCAACCAUCCCCUGAGCCAGGUCCCUGUUGGCUGCCACGGGGUCACCAUCUACAGAUGUUUUACUCCAAAAGAGUGGGGAGAAGAUCAGUUUUUUUCAGUAAAGAAGAAGUGAACUCCUCAAUCUCCAAUGAACAGAUCUCUUCCUUCUGUGGCAGCUGAAAAGGUCCUGAACAAGAUACUAUUUUUAUUCUAGUCACUUCCUACUGUGAAAUUUCUGAAGCAAGAGGUCAAGUAAGACAAGCUGCUUUCCUCUCCUUCAUGCCCUUUUCCUGUGUGAAGGCUCCCUCAACCUGGUGAUUACAAAUAAAACCUUACUUUGGGCUAUUGUCAGUUUUGGAGCCACUCUCAGCAAAAAAAGAACUUUCAUAUGAAAGGCAGCAGACUGUUGUGACCCUGCUAAAUGACUGUGUUCAUCGGGGGCAGACACACUCUGGAAAUAAUAAUUUGCAUGGAGAUCAACAUUCUCAUUUUUUUUUCUUCAAGAGUAUGACACAGUAGAAAUGCAUCACCAAUGAAAUAACAGCACAGGCACUUAAAAGAAUUCAUAGACCUCCUGAGUGCUAUAUUAUACUCCAGACAACAUUAUUAUCUGUCAGCUUGGAUACAGUAGAACUGUGUAGUGCCGGGGUCUCCAAAGGAAGUGAAGUGUGGGGAAAAUGACCUGUGAACUGAAUCUGAACUUCCUUAAGGAAUUGGAACAAGAGACAGUUUUACAGGUCCUGUACCGUGACCAGAUGGUGAGAAAAGUGGAUGAGGAAAGGAUAAGGAAAUUGAAAAUGCAGUUGCAGCAGCUUCAGUGGAAGGGGGGAAAAAGUGUAAGCCAUGAAUACCAGGAAAGAUCCUGCGCUCGCUGUCAGAAAUCCUUGGGCCUGGUGAUGAAUAGAGGUGCAGUGUGCAAUGGAUGCAGUCAUCGAGUGUGCUCUGAGUGCCGUGUCUGCCUGAAUCCCUACCUGUGGAAAUGCACCAUCUGUUAUGCUCAUGGAGACAUGAAAGUAAAGACUGGGGAAUGGUUCUUUGAGGAACGUGCCAAGAAAUUCCCAGCUGAAGGUAGACACGAAACAGCUGGCGCAAAGCUCUUGAAAUCUUAUCAAAAACUGAGUAAAAUUUCUGUGGUUCCUCCUACUCCCCCUCCUUUCACUGAAACCACCGGGAGAAACACCACAAUGGAAAUCAGCCAAUCUAAAAGCUUUAAUAAGUCUGUGGAAAACUUGUUUCUGUCUCUUGCCACAAAUAUGAAAAAAAUCUCAAAGUCCCAGAAUGAUAUGAGGGCUGACAAAAGUCUCCUAACUACAGAUUAUGGGCAGGACAUGGAACGGAGGAAGGAAAGGAGAAGUCAGUCUGACACUGCCAUCGAUAUUGCAAACAGGAUAAAAAAUAUACCAACCCUUCAGCAACUCAUCAAUGGGACACGGGACGACAAUGAAGCCUUUACCAAAAGGUAUUGCAAGCAGGCAGAAGACAUUCCAACCAGUCCCAUGAGUGACACUGUAUUCUGCGGUGGCAAAAAACAUGGCAGUUUAUAUAGCAUUAACAGCACUUGCACCGAGGCUGGCAAUUUUGACACGGCUAAUGUCACAGGAGAAAUAGAGUUUGCCAUCAGAUACGUCUUUAAAGCCUGCACUUUAGAAGUCUGCAUCAAGGCCUGCAAGAACCUGGCUUACGGAGAAGAGAAGAAGAAAAAGUGUAACCCGUAUGCAAAGACUUAUUUGCUUCCCGAUAAAUCUUCCCGGAGUAAACGGAAGACAGCUGUUAAAAAGAACACAGUGGAUCCGGCAUUCCAUGAAACUUUAAAGUAUAAGAUUGAAUACUCCCAGCUGGAAACACGACAGCUUCAGAUAUCUGUGUGGCACUCAGAAACACUCAAGCGAAGGGUGUUCCUUGGAGAAGUGGUUGUUCCACUGGCGUCUUGGAAUUUUGAAGACAAUUCAACACAGUCAUUCAAUUGGUACCAGCUUAAAGUGAAGUCUGGAAAGCCUGAAGACAACCUGGUUCAGUACAAUGGAGAACUCCUGGUGUGUGCAAAACUGAUCUUACCAUCCCAGUCUAAAAAAUGCCAGUAUGAAGAGCAGAUGAGAGGAGGGAGAGAAGACCAAGCAUCUGCCGAUGGCCAGCUUCACCUUGUGGUGCUUGGAGCCAAGAACUUGCCUGUGAUGAGAUGUGGUGGCACUUUGAACUCAUUUGUUAAAGGUUGUCUCACUCUCCCGGACCAGCGUGAGAUAAGACAGAAGUCUCCUGUCCUGAAGAAAGAAGCCUGUCCUCAGUGGAAGCACCUGUUUGUCUUUGACGGCGUGACCCCAUCUCAGCUCCGGCAAUCUUGUCUGGACUUGGCCGUCUGGGACCAGGCAUCUUUUGGCUCAAAUGACCGGUUCCUGGGGGGAGCCAGGCUUAGCACAAAUUCAUGAUAGAGCUAGGUGUGGAGGACAAGUUUGAAGAAAGAAGGGGGGAGUGGUCCCAAUCUUGCAAGCACUUAUGCCUUUAACUUUUCACAUAAGAACCAUCUGGCACCUGGGAUUCAGACCCCCAAUCAAAACAUCAGUGGCAGAAAAUACUCAGCAGCCCAAACACUUGGAUAGAUAUUACACUUACGCUGCAUUCAGAUACGGACACUUAAGUCCUAAUAGCACCCAUGUGACAAGCAUAUCUUCCACGUGUGAGCAGUCGGAAAGUAUUGCCCAAGCAUUGUACUCAAGGUUAAGCAGCACGGCAUGCUCUCUGAUCCCUUCUGCCUUCUGGAAAGAAACAUACCUUUGAAAAGAGCUCUCCACACGUAAGCCACUUAUCUAUACAUAAAACAAAACUGUGUAAUUAGAAUCAUUACAAAACUAAUAAAAUAUUAAACUGUUACACUC